AUGCUGUUCUCUCUGCCUGGAUGUCUUUACUCAACUAUUUUUCUCUCUCAUCACUAUCAUAUUGAGAGAGAGGUGUGUGGUCCAGGGAAGGUUAUUUCACAAUGGAAGAGACUUGGACACAUGCUCCUGGGAAUCAACGCCUGUGGAGAAAGAGGCUCAGAUGCUGAUAACGGGGUGAUUGACGGACUGAGGCGCUGCAGGAGGCAGGAGAGGUUGGAUGAGGGCACAGGUGGAGAGCUAACCUUGCAUGAGAGCCAGACCAUACUUCUACUUUGUCAGAAGGGAAGAAGGAAUGAAUGGGUGUGGGGAAGACUGUUCCAAGGAUGCAAAGGUUUUAUGCUCAAGUGUCUAAUUUACUGUAAACAGAAAAAGGCUGUCUGACCAGAAAUGGAGAGAUGUUUGAGGAGGAUGAACCGUUCGCCUGACUAUGAAGUGUUGGACUUUAUACUGUACAUUCUCAUGCAAUAUCACGCAUUUUAUGACAUUUAUUUCUAGAAACUCUAAAUAUAAAUAGCGAGCUAUUAUGAAGAACUAGAAAAACAAAACAAACCAAAAUUAGCUAAGCAUGCUAGAAUUUUGGUUGCAGAAACUUGGACAGAAUCAGAAGACUGGAAGCUACAACUGGGAAUCACGCGGAAGGUCAAUCCUCUCUUCCGAGUCUGUCUGAAGACAGAUAUAACCAUGUCUACUCGCCCUACGCCACAGGCCAGCAGCUUUUCAUGAGACAGCAAUGUACGUGAAUACCUUCAAACAUGCCCUGCAAACAUGCAGGAUAAUCUGCACUUAAAAUAACUACGCAUAGGUUCUCCUUCCACUAAGAGUGAAAAGCUGUUGGUAUGUCUGACACACAAGCUGCUGUGUGCACGUGUGACCAGACAGAGCGGUCAAGGGAGCAAUCGUGUCAAAAUGUACAGUCAUAUCAGAAUGGAACACGCGUGCACGUGCAUGCACACACACGCACACACACCGCAACAACAUAUGAAAGGUUUUAUGCAAAAGGAUGAAUUUGAGCAUUUAAUUCGGGCUCUCACUCGACUGGACAAAGUAAUGGAGAAUCUCAUGAGGAGGAUGCCGGGGUUUUAGACAGAAAGCUUUAGGGAAACGCAACAGUCAAGACGCGAAGCAGAGACCUCCACUCAGCUCUUCGACAGCUCCUUAGGGAGUCCCCACACAUCCCGUGAAGCUGAUGGACGCUUUCACUCCUCCACUGAACCGCGUUCAGUUACAUCACUAAACGGCGAGUGAUGUUGAACAGGUAACGGACGCUCGACUUCCUCCUCUGCAAACAGAAGCAGUGGCAACACUUGCCCUGACUGCCUCAAAGAUCAAAUGAGAAACUGGAUACGAGAGCCUUGUCAAUUUGAAGCCCUCGAUAAGUAAA
rnacentral:lncRNA from 1 species